rnacentral:snRNA from 1 species
ACAUGAGGGUGAUCUGGCUGCAACAUCCAUCACCCCAUUGACCUCCAGGGUUGAUUCAGCUGUUCUGUCUGCCGAGGCAAGUGCCCUCUUUCCCUCCUUACUGCUGUAUGCAUGUGUCCCUUGCAAAGCUGCACGCUCUAUUGAAGAGGAUGACCAUCCCUGAUAGAGGAGGACUGUUUUUUGGCCAAGGAUAUACAGUAGCUGCGCUCCCCUGCUAAAACCUCCAAAUGAGCUUUCAAUGAGCUGUAGGUUAAUGAUUCUCCACCUUUGCAGAUUCUCCAGCACCUCUAACUGGUAUUCAGA